UCCGAGUCUUCGCUGGAGGACGAAUAAUCUGUCACCUUGUUCUGGGGACGAACAUCGUCCACUGCACGCAGCUCCUUGGCCAGAGCGGUCAGGUCCUACAAGAUCAGAAAGUGAAGCAGGAAACAGAAAGCUGCUGGAGAGGAAGUAGUUAUAGAGGUAAAACCAGCCAAUGAGAAGCCAAACAGAUGCGAGGAGAGAAAUGAUCGUACAGCCGAUGCUCUCCGAGCUGCUGGAGGGAAGAAAGCGUGGGUUAAAAUGGCAGCCAAGAGAGUCCGGCGGGGAAAGGAGUCAAACAAGAAGUGGAGCAAGGCAGCUCAGUCCAACAACUAACAUCCGAUUGGAUCGCUCAUGGAUGGAGAGCAGGAAGAGUGGGGGGAGAAAAAUUUCAAACAAACCCACAAAGCUCAAGGUUCUAGAUCUAAGGCAGCUAGAGCGCUAUGCGGUUCUGGCUC